GACGAACGCUGGCGGCGUGCUUAACACAUGCAAGUCGAACGGAAAGGCCCUGCUUUUGUGGGGUGCUCGAGUGGCGAACGGGUGAGUAACACGUGAGUAACCUGCCCUUGACUUUGUGAUAACUUCAGGAAACUGGGGCUAAUACCGGAUAGGAGCUCCUGCUGCGUGGUGGGGGUUGGAAAGUGUCGGCGGUUGGGGAUGGACUCGCGGCUUAUCAGCUUGUUGGUGGGGUAGUGGCUUACCAAGGCUUUGACGGGUAGCCGGCCUGAGAGGGUGACCGGCCACAUUGGGACUGAGAUACGGCGCAGACUCCUACGGGAGGCAGCAGUGGGGAAUAUUGCACAAUGGGCGGAAGCCUGAUGCAGCAACGCCGCGUGCGGGAUGACGGCCUUCGGGUUGUAAACCGCUUUCGCCUGUGACGAAGAGUGAGUGACGGUAAUGGGUAAAGAAGCACCGGCUAACUACGUG
rnacentral:rRNA from 1 species